rnacentral:rRNA from 1 species
UACGUAGGGUGCAAGCGUUGUCCGGAAUUAUUGGGCGUAAAGAGCUCGUAGGCGGUUCGUCGCGUCGGCUGUGAAAACCCGGAGCUCAACUCCGGGCCUGCAGUCGAUACGGGCGGACUUGAGUGUUGCAGGGGAGACUGGAAUUCCUGGUGUAGCGGUGAAAUGCGCAGAUAUCAGGAGGAACACCGGUGGCGAAGGCGGGUCUCUGGGCAACUACUGACGCUGAGGCACGAAAGCUAGGGGAGCAAACAGG